rnacentral:rRNA from 1 species
UACGUAGGGUGCAAGCGUUGUCCGGAAUUAUUGGGCGUAAAGAGCUCGUAGGCGGUUUGUCGCGUCGGCUGUGAAAAACUCGGGGGCUCAACCCCGAGCCUGCAGUCGAUACGGGCAGACUAGAGUGCGGUAGGGGAGACUGGAAUUCCUGGUGUAGCGGUGAAAUGCGCAGAUAUCAGGAGGAACACCGGUGGCGAAGGCGGGUCUCUGGGCCGUAACUGACGCUGAGGAGCGAAAGCGUGGGGAGCAAACAGG